rnacentral:rRNA from 1 species
GUGGGGAAUCUUCCGCAAUGGACGAAAGUCUGACGGAGCAACGCCGCGUGAGUGAUGAAGGUCUUCGGAUUGUAAAGCUCUGUUAAUCGGGACGAAAGAGCCUAGUGUGAAUAAUGCUAGGAAGUGACGGUACCGGAAUAGAAAGCCACGGCUAACUACGUGCCAGCAGCCGCGGUAAUACGUAGGUGGCAAGCGUUGUCCGGAAUUAUUGGGCGUAAAGCGCGCGCAGGCGGAUCUGCCAGUCUGUCUUACAAGUUCGGGGCGUAACCCCGUGAUGGGAUGGAAACUACAGAUCUAGAGUAUCGGAGAGGAAAGUGGAAUUCCUAGUGUAGCGGUGAAAUGCGUAGAUAUUAGGAAGAACACCAGUGGCGAAGGCGACUUUCUGGACGAAAACUGACGCUGAGGCGCGAAAGCCAGGGGAGCGAACGGGAUUAGAAACCCUGGUAGUCC